UCUGAGAAAACUGUGCGUCUUCAAGAAAAUUGAGAGGCAUUCCAUUCACUGGCCCUGCCGACUGACCAUUGGCUCCAAUUUGUCUAUAAGGAUUGCAGCCUAUAAAUCGAUUCUACAGGAGAGAGUUAAAAAGACUUGGACAGUUGUGGAUGCAAAAACCCUAAAAAAAGAAGAUAUACAAAAAGAAACAGUUUAUUGCUUAAAUGAUGAUGAUGAAACUGAAGUUUUAAAAGAGGAUAUUAUUCAAGGUAUGUCAGUAAGAGUUUUCACUGUUGCCUAAAAGACAUUUUCUUCAACAUGAUACGAUGCAGGCUGCAGUUUGUAUUAUUAUUUGUUUAAAGUUAUUUCUUUGAGUUAUAGAGAUAUAACAGUUUGAAAGGAUAAUGAGACCCUAGGUCCUUUAGCUCAUUUGUUGGGUCUUAGGCAGGUUGGUUCUCAGGAGUACACUUGGGUGUCCAUCUCUGUGAGUUUUAAAUGUCUUAAGUGAUGGUACUCAAUACUUGGCUUUAUUUUAAAGUUUGAAACUCACUAGCUAGGAGAAUGUUUAAUAUGGUUGAACUAAG
rnacentral:sRNA from 1 species